UACGUAGGUGGCAAGCGUUGUCCGGAAUUAUUGGGCGUAAAGCGCGCGCAGGUGGUUCCUUAAGUCUGAUGUGAAAGCCCACGGCUCAACCGUGGAGGGUCAUUGGAAACUGGGGAACUUGAGUGCAGAAGAGGAAAGUGGAAUUCCAAGUGUAGCGGUGAAAUUCGUAGAUAUCAGGAGGAACACCAGUGGCGAAGGCGGCUUUCUGGACGGUAACUGACGCUGAGGCGCGAAAGCGUGGGGAGCAAACAGG
rnacentral:rRNA from 1 species